rfam:Schistosoma mattheei strain Denwood, Zambia genome assembly, scaffold: SMTD_scaffold0001239
AGCUUUUCGAAUCCGUGCUGAGAUUUCGUCGGACACCGACCCAUUAGGUGUAAUCAGACUCCCAAGAUAAGCGAAGUU